UACGUAGGGGGCGAGCGUUGUCCGGAUUUAUUGGGCGUAAAGAGCUCGUAGGCGGUUUGGUAAGUCGGGUGUGAAAUCUCCACGCUCAACGUGGAGGGGCCACUCGAUACUGCCAUGACUCGAGUCCGGUAGAGGAGUGUGGAAUUCCCGGUGUAGCGGUGAAAUGCGCAGAUAUCGGGAGGAACACCGGUGGCGAAGGCGGCAUCCUGGACCGGUAUUGACGCUGAGGCGCGAAAGCUAGGGGAGCAAACGGG
rnacentral:rRNA from 1 species